AAAAAAUAUAAAAAAAAAAGCCACACUAUGACUUACACAUCAAAAGUUUAAAUUUUUGGAAGUAAAAAUCAUGCUUCUAUAGCUAUUUACUGCCACAUGUUUAGCAAUGAUAACCUCUACCAUGCAUCAAGUGCAAAUCUAAAGGCUAAAAGCUAUCAUUGGACCAUGCUUUCAUUAAUCCACCAUCUCAAUCACACAAAUGUAUUCUAACGUAAGCAUUUAAGGUUUUCAAUUAUUUUUUUCUUAAAAUGAUUGAGUAGCUUAUUUUGUAAUCCCAAUGUCAUGCAAUUAUUUUAUCAUUCUUACAAGAUCGGCCACAUUUACUUCACCAUAGCAGCUGAAUUCCAACAAUCCUUCCCCAAACCAAAUAUUGAUCCAAUUUGUUCAUGACCAAUGUCCCAACUGGAUCUACUCUUUAAGAAAAAAAAGUCCCAACUGGAUUAGCAUAUCGGCAUAUAACCUAUUUUUAGGGGAAAAUUUGCAUAUAAUGCUGCAGUCAUCACAAUUAAAUGCAAAUUUCAAAAGAAAUGCCCAUUAUCUCCUCUUAUACAGAAAAUAAUAUCCUGCUACAUUACUGGGUUGUCCAUUUCAUUGAUUGAUAUGAACAAUAAUGAUCAAUUGUGCUCAUCGUCCCCUAUUAUUAUUAGACUAGGCAUAAUCCAAAGGAUGAUUAAACGAUUAAAAUUUUCCCUUUUCAUUCCAUAAUCAUUAGUAGAUUUAGUUUUCUUCUAUUAAUCCCUUCCACAUCUUCCCAUCAAGUUUUGUUUCUUUUAUUUCCCUACUGGCUUUGUUGUUCUUGUUCAGUUUCUUUUUCUUUUAUUAUUUGUCCUUUCAGAGCAAAGCUCAACAUUGGAGUCAUGAUUUUGCUGUUAGAAGAGAUUAUUUGAAUCAGAACAUCACAUUUUGCAACAGACUGCACUUUUGCUGAUGCAUGCUGUCAUGGAAUCAGAAUAUCAGUGCAUAAUAGCUGUGCCUUUAGCAAUUGCUUCACUUAAAUAAAAAUAAAGUAAUGCACAUUUAGAUUAAAAAAGUCCUCUUGAUGUGGCCUAUAGCAAGAUUACUAAAACCAAUAUUCAUGCUUCAUUAGAUCCUAAUGGUGAGAUAAUGAAUCUGAAAAACAAAUUUAAGCAUCUUAUCUCUUAAACUGAUAACAAAAGAUAAAGUCAACAUUCCUUCAAAUGGCAUGCAGUUGUAACAGUCCAAUUUGUUUAAUCACAAGACUACAUGGGGCCCUAACCAAUGCCUCCCUGCAUGGCCAACCUCACAGCUCUCAAGUUCUAAUAGUACAAGGAAAAUUAAGUUUUUGGACAUUUUGUAUGCAUAUGAAAAUAUCCUUACCACCUAGAUAAGAUUGGUUUCUAUCCUUUGCGCCUACGAACAAGCUUUUCAAAUGGUGCAGCAUUAAAGAAACAGCUACAGAAAUGGGAAACACAAAAUGAGGUUUAGCUCAUGCCAAAUACCAUAAAGUUACCUCUUUGAG
rnacentral:misc_RNA from 1 species